rnacentral:rRNA from 1 species
GAUCAUGGCUCAGGAUGAACGCUGGCGGCGUGCUUAACACAUGCAAGUCGAACGAAGCACUUUAACCUGAUUCUUCGGAUGAAGGUUUUUGUGACUGAGUGGCGGACGGGUGAGUAACGCGUGGGUAACCUGCCUCAUACAGGGGGAUAACAGUUAGAAAUGACUGCUAAUACCGCAUAAGACCACGGAGCCGCAUGGCUCAGUGGGAAAAACUCCGGUGGUGUGGGAUGGACCCGCGU